AAUAGCACUACGCCGGAUGAACGGAAAUCAUUGAUGUUGAUUAAUAUGGGAUUAUAUCUGUCUCUAGUGCUAAAA
rnacentral:tRNA from 1 species